GCACUGAAGGUCCAGUGGUAGAAUUCUCGCCUUCCAUGUGAGAUGCCCGGGUUGGAUUCCCAGCCAAGGCA
rnacentral:tRNA from 1 species